rnacentral:rRNA from 1 species
UGCGGAAGGAUCAUUAUUGAAAUUAUAGGUGAGGGUUGUAGCUGGCCUCUCGGGGCAUGUGCACGCCCGAGCCCUUAAUCCACACACACCUGUGAACCUAUUGUAAGGGCCCUUAAAAAAGGCCUUUACGUCUUAUCAUCAACCCAUCGUAUGUCUCAUAGAAUGUAAAUAUAUGUCCUCGCCUUAAAAAGCGUUGAUAAACUUAUACAACUUUCAACAACGGAUCUCUUGGCUCUCGCAUCGAUGAAGAACGCAGCGAAAUGCGAUAAGUAAUGUGAAUUGCAGAUUUUCAGUGAAUCAUCGAAUCUUUGAACGCACCUUGCGCUCCUUGGUAUUCCGAGGAGCAUGCCUGUUUGAGUGUCAUUAAAUUCUCAACUCCGAUCGAUUUGUUUCGACUUCGGAGCUUGGAUUUGGAGCGUGCUGGCGUCGGUCGGCUCCUCUUAAAUGCAUCAGCGGAAUCUAACGUUUCGGACGUCAGUGUGAUAAUCAUGUUGCGCUGUCUGUCUGAUCCGAAAGCCCGCUCAC